UGGCUAAUACCGCAUAAUGCCUACGGGCCAAAGAGGGGGACCUUCGGGCCUCUCGCGUCAAGAUAUGCCUAGGKGGRAUUAGCGAGUUGGUGAGGUAAUGGCUCACCAAGGYGACGAUCCCUAGCUGGUCUGAGAGGAUGAUYAGMCACACUGGAACUGACACACGGUCCARACUCCUACGGGAGGCAGCARUGGGGAAUAUUGCACAAUGGGCSAAAGCCUGAUGCAGCCAUGCCGCGUGUAUGAAGAAGGCCUUCGGGUUGUAAAGUACUUUCAGUUGUGAGGAAGGGGGUAGUGUUAAUACGCGCUAUCUCUUGACGUUASGCACAGAAGAAGCACCGGCUAACUCCGUGCCAGCAGCCGCGGUAAUACGGAGGGUGCGAGCGUUAAUCGGAAUUACUGGGCGUAAAGCGCAUGCAGGUGGUUCAUUAAGUCAGAUGUGAAAGCCCSGGGCUCAACCUCGGAACUGCAUUUGAAACUGGUGAACUAGAGUWCUGUAGAGGGGGGUAGAAUUUCAGGUGUAGCGGUGAAAUGCGUAGAGAUCUGAAGGAAUACCAGUGGCGAAGGCRGCCCCCUGGACAGAUACUGACACUCAURUGCGAAAGCGUGGGGAGCAAACAGGAUUAGAUACCCUGGUAGUCCACGCCGUAAACGAUGUCUACUUGGAGGUUGUGGCCUUGAGCUGUGGCUUUCGGAGCUAACGCGUUAAGUAGACCGCCUGGGGAGUACGGUCGCAAGAUUAAAACUCAAAUGAAUUGACGGGGGCCCGCACAAGCGGUGGAGCAUGUGGUUUAAUUCGAUGCAACGCGAAGAACCUUACCUACUCUUGACAUCCAGAGAAGCCAGCGGAGAUGCAGGUGUGCCUUCGGGAGCUCUGAGACAGGUGCUGCACGGCUGUCGUCASCUCGUGUUGUGAAAURUUGGGUUAAGUCCCGCAACGAGCGCAACCCUUAUCCKUGUUUGCCAGCGAGUAAWRUCGGGAAACUCCAUGGGAGAGCWSUCGCGGUGGAUAAAACACGGAGAGAAAGAGUGUGGGAGCAGAGCAGUCCAAAGUGCAUUCUAUAGUGCCCCCUCUUAUCAGAGUAUGAGGGGCUAUCACCCACCAGUGGUCUAUCACAWAGUGGCGGCAUCAUCAGAAGAGGUCAGUCAAGACUMUGUCGGAGUAAAGUGUAAGACGGAGAUUACUCCCAAUAUAAAAGUGUCGGUGCUGUGAUGUGUCCGCGGAGUAUUGUGGAGGUGCUCGUCGACAACAUCUGCAGCAUCCUCCACUGUAGAAGAUGCUGCGGAGAAUACUGCCGUCAUGUGAUAUACUGCUGAGGAUACUACGAAGAUAGUCGUAACCGGCGUGUAGAAUAUCAGUGUUCUCCCCGCGGGGCGCCU
rnacentral:rRNA from 1 species